AUGAGCCCCCUAAUUAUAACCACCUUACUUCUAAGCCUGGGCCUAGGGACAACCAUUACAUUUGCAAGUUCCCACUGACUAUUCGCGUGAAUAGGCCUGGAAAUUAAUACCCUCGCCAUCCUUCCACUAAUAGCCCAACACCACCACCCCCGGGCAGUAGAAGCCACCACAAAAUACUUCCUCACCCAAGCCACCGCUGCAGCCAUAAUCCUAUUUGCAAGCACCACCAACGCCUGGCUCACAGGACAAUGGAACAUUUUUCAACUGACCCACCCCCUGCCACUCACCCUUCUGACCAUGGCCCUUGCCCUAAAGAUUGGUCUAGCACCACUACACACUUGACUACCUGAAGUCCUACAAGGGUUGAAUCUCACUACCGGCCUCAUCCUAUCCACCUGGCAGAAACUAGCCCCCUUUGCCCUCCUCUUGCAGACCCAGCCCAUAAACUCAACCACUCUUAUUUUGCUAGGGCUAGUCUCCACACUUGUAGGAGGCUGGGGAGGACUAAAUCAAACACAACUUCGCAAAGUCCUUGCCUAUUCAUCCAUCGCCCACCUUGGAUGAAUAAUCCUAGUUCUUCAAUUCACCCCCUCACUGACACUCCUCACUCUGAUUACGUACUUCCUAAUAACAUUUUCAACAUUUGUUGUUUUUAAACUAAACAAUGUAACAACAAUAAAUGCUCUGUCAACCUCCUGAACGAAAUCUCCAACUAUAACCGCCCUAACCCCCUUAAUUCUACUCUCCCUAGGAGGGCUACCCCCCUGACAGGAUUUAUACCAAAAUGACUCAUCCUUCAAGAACUAACUAAGCAAGACCUAGGGCUAACAGCCACACUAGCAGCCCUUAGCGCCCUUCUUAGCCUAGUAUUUUACCUCCGCCUAUCCUACUCCAUAACCCUCACCAUGUCCCCCAACAACCUCCCAGGGACAACCCCCUGACGCCUUAACAGCCCUCAAAAGACUCUCCCCCUUGCCCUCUCAACUGCCGCCACUAUAAUACUCCUACCCUUAACACCAGCACUAACAACACUGUUCACAACUUA